GUUCACCAUGCUGGACGAGGGAGGACACGUUCUUCUGGCGCUGACGGUGGCGUCUCUGGCGCGAUGGCUGACCUCUAUGUGGUCGAGCCGGGUCAGGCGGGGACAGUUUGUGAGGGUGGGGAAGGUGUCGGAACUGAACCUUUACCCGGUGAAGUCUUGUCCGGGGAUUCCUCUACAGAGUGCUAGGGCAGAGAGCGCUGGAUUGGUUUCAGAAGGAUUACACGACAGACAGUGGAUGCUGGUGAGGGCAAAUGGGGAUUUCCUCAGUCAACGUCAAUACUCCAAAAUGGCCCUCGUCCGCGUGUCUAAUCACCAUGACAACAUUCACCUAGACGCCCCGGGACAGCCCACUUUGGUUUUGCCGAAAAAUCCACCUGUGGACCAGAGCAGGUUGAUGAUGACAAGGCACUGUUCUCCGACUGUGGUGGUUAUCUGGUGAUGAACGACGCCUCGCUGGAAGAUCUUAAUGGCCGUCUACAGAACAAGGUCACCUUCAAAAGUUUCAGACCAAACAUUGUCGUGUCUGGGUCCCAAGCUUUUGCCGAGGACUGUUGGGAAGAAAUACGAAUUGGUGAAACAAACCCGCUGUAUUUCCGAAUGUUGGACCCGUGUACCAGGUGUAUUCUAACAACAGUCAACCCUGACACAGGAGAAAGAAACAAAGACAGACAACCAUUGGAAACCCUCAAAAAAUUCCGUUGCAUGCCUCCAUAUGGGGAUGACCCAAUAUUUGGAGUGAAUGCUGCUCUGGAUAAUAAUGGAACCAUACAGAUUGGGGAUCCUGUAUAUGCUCUCCUGAAAUGACAAAAACUAAAGGCCCAAAACAAAUGACUAAAAUAAGAAAUGAUUCAGGCGAAGCCAUCCCCUUGAAUAAUCCUGUUGAAAUUAAUACCUCAGUUGAAUAUAUAUGCCAAAAUAGAAAUCAAAUGAAUUCACUGAAUGGGAUGAUAUAUUCAAUAAAAAAAAAAACUACAGUAAUUCAAGGCUAACAUAAUGAAAAUAAGUACAUAAACAUGUAGCAAUAUGUACAAUUGUGUAGCAACAGAGACUAGUGUAACAAAUACAACAUCAUUUGAUUGUCACAUACCAAUGUACAUACUGGUAUAUAUGAAUAUACAUGUAAAAAGCAGUCACAUAUGACAAUCAAUGUAAAAAUAAAUCUAAACAAAUGCUU
rnacentral:misc_RNA from 1 species